rnacentral:rRNA from 1 species
GAUGAACGCUGGCGGCGUGCCUAAUACAUGCAAGUCGAGCGAACAGACGAGGAGCUUGCUCCUCUGACGUUAGCGGCGGACGGGUGAGUAACACGUGGAUAACCUACCUAUAAGACUGGGAUAACUUCGGGAAACCGGAGCUAAUACCGGAUAAUAUAUUGAACCGCAAGGUUCAAUAGUGAAAGACGGUUUUGCUGUCACUUAUAGAUGGAUCCGCGCCGCAUUAGCUAGUUGGUAAGGUAACGGCUUACCAAGGCAACGAUGCGUAGCCGACCUGAAAGGGUGAUCGGCCACCCUGGAACUGAGACACGGUCCAGACUCCUACGGGAGGAAGCAGUAGGGAAUCUUCCGCAAUGGGCGAAAGCCUGACGGAGCAACGCCGCGUGAGUGAUGAAGGUCUUCGGAUCGUAAAACUCUGUUAUUAGGAAAGAACAAAUGUGUAAGUAACUAUGCACGUCUUGACGGUACCUAAUCAGAAAGCCACGGCUAACUACGUG